rnacentral:rRNA from 1 species
CGGGGUGCAGCAGGCGCGAAAACUUUACAAUGCCGGCAACGGCGAUAAGGGAACCUCGAGUGCCAGGUUACAAAUCUGGCUGUCGUGAUGCCUAAAAAGCAUUGCAUAGCAAGGGCCGGGCAAGACCGGUGCCAGCCGCCGCGGUAACACCGGCGGCUCGAGUGGUAACCGUUAUUAUUGGGUCUAAAGGGUCUGUAGCCGGCCGGAUAAGUCUCUUGGGAAAUCUGGCAGCUUAACUGUCAGGCUUUCAGGAGAUACUGUCUGGCUCGAGGCCGGGAGAGGUGAGAGGUACUUCAGGGGUAGGGGUGAAAUCUUGUAAUCCUUGAAGGACCACCAGUGGCGAAGGCGUCUCACCAGAACGGACCUGACGGCAAGGGACGAAAGCUAGGGGCACGAACCGGAUUAGAUACCCGGGUAGUCCUAGCCGUAAACGAUACUCGCUAGGUGUCGGCCACGGUGCGACCGUGGUCGGUGCCGUAGGGAAGCCGUGAAGCGAGCCACCUGGGAAGUACGGCCGCAAGGCGGAAACUUAAAGGAAUUGGCGGGGGAGCACAAGGGCGAAUCGCGG